rnacentral:rRNA from 1 species
CACGUAGGGUGCGAGCGUUGUCCGGAAUUACUGGGCGUAAAGAGCUCGUAGGCGGUUUGUCGCGUCUGCCGUGAAAGUCCGGGGCUCAACUCCGGAUCUGCGGUGGGUACGGGCAGACUAGAGUGAUGUAGGGGAGACUGGAAUUCCUGGUGUAGCGGUGAAAUGCGCAGAUAUCAGGAGGAACACCGAUGGCGAAGGCAGGUCUCUGGGCAUUAACUGACGCUGAGGAGCGAAAGCAUGGGGAGCGAACAGG